GGGCCCAUAGCUCAGUGGUUGAGCAAUUGAUUGCAAAUCAAAAGGUCACUGGUUCGAUCCCAGUUGGGCCCU